UACGAAGGGUGCAAGCGUUAAUCGGAAUUACUGGGCGUAAAGGGCGCGUAGGCGGCAUGGCAAGUCGGGAGUGAAAGGCCUGGGCUCAACCGAGGAACUGCUUUCGAGACUGCCAAGCUAGAGUGCGGAAGGGGCAUCUGGAAUUCCCAGUGUAGCGGUGAAAUGCGUAGAUAUUGGGAAGAACACCUGAGGCGAAGGCGGGAUGCUGGGCCGACACUGACGCUGAGGCGCGAAAGCCAGGGGAGCAAACGGG
rnacentral:rRNA from 1 species